rnacentral:rRNA from 1 species
UACGAAGGGUGCAAACGUUGCUCGGAAUUAUUGGGCGUAAAGCGCACGUAGGCGGCAUUGCAAGUCGGAUGUGAAAUCUUAUGGCUUAACCAUAAAAGUGCAUCCGAAACUGCAGUGCUUGAGUACUUAAGAGGAUCGCGGAACUCCCGGUGUAGAGGUGAAAUUCGUAGAUAUCGGGAGGAACACCAGUGGCGAAGGCGGCGAUCUGGGAAGAUACUGACGCUGAGGUGCGAAAGCGUGGGGAGCAAACAGG